CAGAGUUAGCAGCAAACUUAAUCAAUAUUCCAAGUAACAGAUUUAACAUGCUUAAUACUGGAAUUCUAUGGCUCUCAACUUAAAAACAAAC
rfam:Sorex araneus cont1.128161, whole genome shotgun sequence.